AUUGAACGCUGGCGGCAUGCCUUACACAUGCAAGUCGAACGGCAGCGCGGGUGCUUGCACCUGGCGGCGAGUGGCGAACGGGUGAGUAAUAUAUCGGAACGUGCCCUAGAGUGGGGGAUAACGUAGCGAAAGUUACGCUAAUACCGCAUACGAUCUACGGAUGAAAGUGGGGGAUCGCAAGACCUCAUGCUCCUGGAGCGGCCGAUAUCUGAUUAGCUAGUUGGUGGGGUAAAGGCCCACCAAGGCGACGAUCAGUAGCUGGUCUGAGAGGACGACCAGCCAAACUGGGACUGAGACACGGCCCAGACUCCUACGGGAGGCAGCAGUGGGGAAUUUUGGACAAUGGGGGCAACCCUGAUCCAGCAAUGCCGCGUGAGUGAAGAAGGCCUUCGGGUUGUAAAGCUCUUUUGUCAGGGAAGAAACGGUCUGGGUUAAUACCCUGGGCUAAUGACGGUACCUGAAGAAUAAGCACCGGCUAACUACGUGCCAGCAGCCGCUGUAACAC
rnacentral:rRNA from 1 species